rnacentral:sRNA from 1 species
CAGUACACACACAAGGUGUACCACGUGGGCUCCCACAUCCCAGGCUGGUUCCGGGCACUGCUGCCCAAGGCUGCCCUGCAGGUAGAAGAGGAAUCCUGGAAUGCCUACCCCUACACCCGAACCCGGUACACCUGCCCUUUCGUGGAGAAAUUCUCCAUUGAAAUAGAGACCUAUUACCUGCCUGAUGGGGGGCAGCAGCCAAACGUCUUCAACCUGAGCGGGGCCGAGAGGAGACAGCGCAUCCUGGGUGAGGCCUGGAGCUAUGGGGGGACCCUGGCGCCCCUCUCAGGCUCCUGGCUGCCUCAGUGGGCAGCCUCUGAGAAGUCCCAGCCCUCUCCAGGCCUCAUGUCCUAUCUGCAAAAGGACGGGAACUGUCACCCAGUCCCAAGAGGGUGCCAGGAGCGGGGGCUCAAAGGGGCUGGCGCUGCUCAAUGCUUGCCGAACUCCCUCAGACACCAUCGACAUCGUGCGGGAUGCAGUGGCCCCAGGCGAGUACAAAGCAGAAGAGGACCCUCGGCUGUACCGCUCGGUCAAGACGGGCCGAGGGCCACUGUCUGAUGACUGGGCGCGG